rnacentral:rRNA from 1 species
CUGGUAGGUGGGUAGAAUAUACCAAGGGGAUCGAGAGAACCUUCGUUAAGGAAUUAGGCAAAUUUCCCCCGUACGUUCGCAAUAAGGGGGGCCUCUGGUGGUUAGCUUCGGCGAAGCUGCUGGAGGCCGCAGUGAAAUGGCUCUUCCAACUGUUUAACAAAAACACAGGUCUCUGCUAAGUCGAAAGACGAAGUAUAGGGGCUGACGCCUGCCCAGUGCUGGAAGGUUAAGGGGAGAGGUUAGCCGUAAGGCGAAGCUUUGAGCCGAAGCCCCAGUGAACGGCGGCCGUAACAAUAACGGUCCUAAGGUAGCGAAAUUCCUUGUCGGGUAAGAUCCGACCCGCACGAAUGGCGUAAUGAGAGGAGCACUGUCUCAACGAGGGACUCGGCGAACAUUGAAGGACGUGUGAAGAUACACGUGACCCGCAGCGGGACAAAAAGACCCCGUGAAGCUUUACUAUAACUUGCCAUUGAGUUAGGGCUAAAUCUGUGUAGCAUAGGUGGGAGGCUUUGAAGCUGGGACGCCAGUCUCGGUGGAGCCACCGUUGAAAUACCACCCUGAUUUAUUCUUGGCUCUAACCUGUAGCCGUUAUCCGGCAUGGGGACAGUGGCUGGUGGGUAGUUUGACUGGGGCGGUCGCCUCCGAAAGAGUAACAGAGGCGCCCAAAGGUUCCCUCAGGCUGAAUGGAAACCAGCCGUUGAGUGUAAAGGCACAAGGGAGCUUGACUGCAAGACAUACGCGUCGCGCAGGUACGAAAGUAGGGCUUAGUGAUCCCACGGUUCAGAGUGGAAUGGCCGUGGCUUACCGGAUAAAAGCUACUCCGGGGAUAACAGGGUAGUCUGGUCCAAGAGUUCAUAUCGACGACCAGGUUCGCCACCUCGAUGUCGGCUCAUCACAUCCUGGGGCUGGAUAAGGUCCCAAGGGUUGGGCUGUUCGCCCAUUAAAGUGGUACGUGAGCUGGGUUCAGACCGUCGUGAGACAGGUCGGUCUCUAUCCGCUGUGGGCGUAAGGGAUUUGAGAGAAGCUGUCCCUAGUACGAGAGGACCGGGAUGGACAGACCUCUAGUGUGCCAGUUGUUCCGCCAGGGGCAUUGCUGGGUAGCUACGUCUGGCAGAGAUAACCGCUGAAAGCAUCUAAGUGGGAAACUCGUCUCAAGACUAGAUCCCUCAUCCGUAUGGAGUAAGACCACUAGAAGACUACUAGUUUGAUAGGCGGCAGGUGUACGCAUAGUAAUAUGUUCAGCCAAGCCGUACUAAUGGUCGAGGGCUUACGUU